rnacentral:rRNA from 1 species
UACGAAGGGGGCUAGCGUUGUUCGGAAUUACUGGGCGUAAAGCGCACGUAGGCGGAAUGUUAAGUCAGGGGUGAAAUCCCGGGGCUCAACCCCGGAACUGCCUUUGAUACUGGCAUUCUCCGAGUCCGGAAGAGGUGAGUGGAAUUCCGAGUGUAGAGGUGAAAUUCGUAGAUAUCGGAGGAACACCAGUGGCGAAGGCGGCUCACUGGUCCGGUACUGACGCUGAGGUGCGAAAGCGUGGGGAGCAAACAGG